GGAGCAGAUUUUAAGAGUAAAAGAAGAUGAGAAUGUUCCAUUUCUACUGGUUGGUAACAAAUCAGAUUUAGAAGAUAAAAGACAGGUUUCUGUAGAAGAGGCAAAAAACAGAGCUGAGCAGUGGAAUGUUAACUACGUGGAAACAUCUGCUAAAACACGAGCUAAUGUUGACAAGGUAUUUUUUGAUUUAAUGAGAGAAAUUCGAGCGAGAAAGAUGGAAGACAGCAAAGAAAAGAAUGGAAAAAAGAAGAGGAAAAGUUUAGCCAAGAGAAUCAGAGAAAGAUGCUGCAUUUUAUAAUCAAAGCCCAAACUCCUUUCUUAUCUUGACCAUACUAAUAAAUAUAAUUUAUAAGCAUUGCCAUUGAAGGCUUAAUUGACUGAAAUUACUUUAACAUUUUGGAAAUUGUUGUAUAUCACUAAAAGCAUGAAUUGGAACUGCAAUGA
rnacentral:sRNA from 1 species